CCUACGGGAGGCAGCAGUGAGGAAUAUUUGUCAAUGGUCGCGAGCCUGCACCAGCCACGUAGCGUGAAGGAUGACUGUCCUACGGGUUGUAAACUUCUUUUAUAAAGGAAUAAAGUGAGGCCCGUGUGCCUUUUUUUAUGUACUUUAUGAAUAAGGAUCGGCUAACUCCGUGCCAGCAGCCGCGUUAAUACGGAGGCUCCGAGCGUUCUCACGAUUUAUUUGGUUUAAAGGGAGCGUAGAUGGGUUGUUAAGGCCGUUGUGAAAGUUUGCGGCUCAACCGUAAAAUAGCAAUUGAUACUGGCAGUCGUGAGUAGAGUUGAGGUAGGCGGAAUUCGCGGUGUAGCGGUGAAAUGCUGAGAUAUCACGAAGAACUCCGAUUGCGAAGGCAGCUUACUAAACUGCCACUGACAUUGAUGCACGAAAGUGGGGGUAUCAAACAGGAUUAGAUACCCCUGUAGUC
rnacentral:rRNA from 1 species